rnacentral:rRNA from 1 species
UACAGAGGUCCCGAGCGUUGUUCGGAUUCACUGGGCGUAAAGGGUGCGUAGGUGGCUUGGUAAGUUUGAUGUGAAAGCUCAGGGCUCAACCCUGAAAUGGCAUUGAAUACUACUGAGCUGGAGGUUUGGAGGGGGGACUGGAAUUCUCGGUGUAGCAGUGAAAUGCUUAGAUAUCGUCAAGAACACCUAUAGCGAAGGCAGCUUACUAGGCUGUAACUGACGCUGAGGCACGAAAGUGUGGGGAUCAAACAGG